GACGAACGCUGGCGGCGUGCUUAACACAUGCAAGUCGAACGGGCCUUGUCCCCUUUUUUUUUGGGGGUGGGGUUAGUGGCGAACGGGUGAGUAACACGUGAGUAACCUGCCCCUCACUUCUGGAUAACCGCUUGAAAGGGUGGCUAAUACGGGGUGUUCUGGCCUGCUCGCAUGGGUGGGUUUGGAAAGAUUCGACCGGUUUUGGUUGUUUUGGUGGGGGAUGGGCUCGCGGCCUAUCAGCUUGUUGGUGGGGUGAUGGCCUGCCAAGGCUUUGACGGGUAGCCGGCCUGAGAGGGUGGGCGGUCACACUGGGACUGAGACACGGCCCAGACUCCUACGGGAGGCAGCAGUGGGGAAUAUUGCACAAUGGGCGCAAGCCUGAUGCAGCGACGCCGCGUGAGGGAUGGAGGCCUUCGGGUUGUGAACCUCUUUCGCCAGUGAAGAAGGUCCUGCUCUUUGUGGUGGGGUUGACGGUAGCUGGGUUAAUGAAGCGCCGGCUAACUGCGUG
rnacentral:rRNA from 1 species